rnacentral:misc_RNA from 1 species
GAUGAAGAACGUAGCGAAAUGCGAUACUUGGUGUGAAUUGCUGAAUCCCGUGAACCAUCGAGUCUUUGAACGCAAGUUGCGCCUCAAGCCAUUAGGUUGAGGGCACGUCUGCCUGGGCGUCACAUAUCGUUGCCUGAUGCCAGUUUCCUCGUGAUGGGUGACUGUGCAGGGCGAAUGAUGGCUUCCCGUGAGCAUUGUUGCCUCAUGGUUGGUUGAAAAUUGAGUCCUUGGUAGGGAGCGCCGUGAUAGAUGGUGGUUGAGUGACGAACGAGACCCAAUCAUGUGAGACCCCUACCGAAUUUGGCCUUCAUGACCCACAUGCGUCUUUGGAACGCUCAUGACGAGACCUCAGGUCAGGCGGGGCUACCCGCUGAGUUUAAGCAUAUCAAUAAGCGGAGGA